UGAGGAAUAUUGGACAAUGGGGGCAACCCUGAUCCAGCCAUGCCGCGUGCAGGAAGACGGCCCUCUGGGUUGUAAACUGCUUUUAUCAGGGGAUAAAGGGGUACUAUACGUACCUUUGCAGGUACCUGAGGAAUAAGCACCGGCUAACUACGUGCCAGCAGCCGCGGUAAUACGUAGGGUGCAAGCGUUGUCCGGAUUUAUUGGGUUUAAAGGGUGCGCAGGCGGCCUGUUAAGUUAGUAGUUAAAGACAGCGGCUCAACCGUUGGUGGGCUAUUAAAACUGGCAGGCUUGAGUGUGUCAGAGGGAAUUAGAAUGCGUGGUGUAGCGGUGAAAUGCAUAGAUAUCACGCAGAAUACCGAUUGCGAAGGCAGAUUUCUAUGACAUAACUGACGCUGAGGCACGAAAGCGUGGGGAGCGAACAGGAUUAGAUACCCCCGUAGUCC
rnacentral:rRNA from 1 species